GCCUUGAUGGUCUAGUAGUAUGAUUCCUUGUUAGGGACUUCGGUCUAAUUCGAGGAGGUCCUGGGUUCAAUUCCCAGUUGAGGCC